UUUGUACUGUGAAACUGCGAAUGGCUCAUUAAAUCAGUUAUCGUUUAUUUGAUAGUACCUUACUACAUGGAUACCUGUGGUAAUUCUAGAGCUAAUACAUGCUAAAAACCUCGACUUCGGAAGGGGUGUAUUUAUUAGAUAAAAAACCAAUGCCCUUCGGGGCUCCUUGGUGAAUCAUAAUAACUUAGCGAAUCGCAUGGCCUUGCGCCGGCGAUGGUUCAUUCAAAUUUCUGCCCUAUCAACUUUCGAUGGUAGGAUAGUGGCCUACCAUGGUGGCAACGGGUAACGGGGAAU
rnacentral:rRNA from 1 species